CUCAAUAAACAUUCAAACUAUUCUUAAUGGUAUAAUUUUUCACAAACAUGAAGUCUGAUGGGUUCUUGUUCAUCUAAUUUAUAGGAACACAGAAAUCAUGAUUGGGGUAGACAAUGCUUUUUCUGUUGAGGGCUGCACCGUAUAGGAAUAAUCUUUCAGGAGCUAUAUGCCAAUAAUAGAUGGAACUUAAGUAAAUCUUUGUUGAAUCAAAUCUUUUUCCAAAAUCCCUUUUCUUUUUCUUGUUGACACUCUCUUUUUUCUCUAUGCAGCAGAUCACUGGAAACAGAACGAUCAUAGUUGCCACAAGUCUGAACUGAUUGCUUCCAAGCACUAGAGCCAUGAUCUCACAAGUGGAAAGGUUCGAAGGGAAGGAAGAAUGCUUUUCUCUGAAGCUUCCAACCAGAGCACUGGUAAUCAGGUAAACAAAGUUUUACAAAAUAGACUUUCAUGGGCACAAAAGCUGUCUGCCAUUUUGCACAUGCACAUGUUUAUCUUUUGGGACAUAAAAGGUACUGAAACCCCCCCAAUCAGCAGCCUGACAUAAAUAACCCAAAUUAAUAAAAUAAUGUAACACUGAAA